rnacentral:rRNA from 1 species
ACANNUGUUAGCAAGGGCCGGGCAAGACCGGUGCCCGCCGCCGCGGUAACACCGGCGGCCCGAGUGGNNNUCACUUUUAUUGGGUCUAAAGGGUCCGUAGCCGGUUUGAUCAGUUCUUCGGGAAANNNGACAGCUCAACUGUUAGGCUUCCGGGGAAUACUGUCAGACUUGGGACCGGGAGAGGUAAGAGGUACUACAGGGGUAGGAGUGAAAUCUUGUAAUCCCUGUGGGACCACCAGUGGCGAAGGCGUCUUACCAGAACGGGUCCNUNGGUGAGGGANNAAAGCUGGGGGCGCGAACCGGAUNNGAUACCCGGGUNGUCCCAGCC